rnacentral:piRNA from 1 species
UGCCUUUGUCAUUCGUUGCCC